CCUACGGGUGGCAGCAGUGAGGAAUAUUGGUCAAUGGACGAGAGUCUGAACCAGCCAAGUAGCGUGAAGGAUGACUGCCCUAUGGGUUGUAAACUUCUUUUAUAUGGGAAUAAAAUGUUCCACGUGUGGGAUUUUGUAUGUACCAUAUGAAUAAGGAUCGGCUAACUCCGUGCCAGCAGCCGCGGUAAUACGGAGGAUCCGAGCGUUAUCCGGAUUUAUUGGGUUUAAAGGGAGCGUAGGUGGAUUGUUAAGUCAGUUGUGAAAGUUUGCGGCUCAACCGUAAAAUCGCAGUUGAAACUGGCAGUCUUGAGUACAGUAGAGGUGGGCGGAAUUCGUUGUGUAGCGGUGAAAUGCUUAGAUAUCACGAAGAACUCCGAUUGCGAAGGCAGUUCACUGGACUGCAACUGACACUGAGGCUCGAAAGUGUGGGUAUCAAACAGGAUUAGAUACCCCUGUAGUC
rnacentral:rRNA from 1 species